AUUGAACGCUGGCGGCAGGCCUAACACAUGCAAGUCGAACGAGUGGCGGACGGGUGAGUAAUGUCUGGGAAACUGCCUGAUGGAGGGGGAUAACUACUGGAAACGGUAGCUAAUACCGCAUCCCAUCAGAUGUGCCCAGAUGGGAUUAGCUAGUUGGUUGGGUAACGGAUCACCACGGCGACGCUCCCUAGCUGGUCUGAGAGGAUGACCAGCCACACUGGAACUGGGACACGAUCCAGACUCCUACGGGAGGCAGCAGUGGGUAAUAUUGCACAAUGGGCGCAAGACUGAUGCAGCCAGGCUGCGUGUAUGAAGAGGGCCUUCGGGUUGUAAAGUACUUUCAGCGGGGAGGCGUUACCCGCAGAAGAAGCACCGGCUAACUCCGUGCCAGCAGCCGCGGUAAUUC
rnacentral:rRNA from 1 species